UAUACGGCGAAACUGCGAAUGGCUCAUUAUAUAAGUUAUCGUUUAUUUGAUAGUAUCUUGCUACUUGGAUAACCGUGGUAAUUCUAGAGCUAAUACAUGCUAAAAAUCCCGACUUCGGAAGGGAUGUAUUUAUUAGAUUAAAAACCAAUGCCCUCUGGGCUCUCUUGGUGAAUCAUGAUAACUUCUCGAAUCGCAGGGCCUUGCGCCGGCGAUGGUUCAUUCAAAUUUCUUCCCUAUCAACUUUCGAUGUUUGGGUAGUGGCCAAACAUGGUUGCAACGGGUAACGGAGGGUUAGGGCUCGACCCCGGAGAAGGAGCCUGAGAAACGGCUACUACAUCCAAGGAAGGCAGCAGGCGCGCAAAUUACCCAAUCCCGAUCCGGGGAGGUAGUGACAAUAAAUACUGAUACAGGGCUCUUUUGGGUCUUGUAAUUGGAAUGAGUACAAUUUAAAUCCCUUAACGAGGAACAAUUGGAGGGCAAGUCUGGUGCCAGCAGCCGCGGUAAUUCCAGCUCCAAUAGCGUAUAUUAAAGUUGUUGUGGUUAAAAAGCUCGUAGUUGAACCUUGGGCCUGGCUGGCCGGUCCGCCUCACCGCGUGCACUGGUCCGGCCGGGCCUUUCCCUCUGUGGAACCCCAUGCCCUUCACUGGGUGUGGCGGGGAAACAGGACUUUUACUUUGAAAAAAUUAGAGUGCUCCAGGCAGGCCUAUGCUCGAAUACAUUAGCAUGGAAUAAUGAAAUAGGACGUGCGGUUCUAUUUUGUUGGUUUCUAGGACCGCCGUAAUGAUUAAUAGGGACAGUCGGGGGCAUCAGUAUUCAAUUGUCAGAGGUGAAAUUCUUGGAUUUAUUGAAGACUAACUACUGCGAAAGCAUUUGCCAAGGAUGUUUUCAUUAAUCAGGAACGAAAGUUAGGGGAUCGAAGACGAUCAGAUACCGUCGUAGUCUUAACCAUAAACUAUGCCGACUAGGGAUCGGACGAUGUUAUUUUUUGACUCGUUCGGCACCUUACGAGAAAUCAAAGUGCUUGGGCUCCAGGGGGAGUAUGGUCGCAAGGCUGAAACUUAAAGAAAUUGACGGAAGGGCACCACCAGGGGUAAACCUGACCUGUGAAGCCGCAGUCAACUCUGCUCCAGAAAGCCGCCCGAAAGGGUCGGUGGUGUUCCUAGGGGAGAGCUCUCCCCUAAACUAAUGGCUAGUCCUGCCGCCCGCGGCAGGGCGACACCCUCAAACUGACGGGGAACUCCUAAAGCCCUCGCUCCGGACAGGCGUCGGGAAACCGACGGCCUGCUCACCAGGCUAACGACCUCGGGUAUCGGAAGCAACGCGAGAGGAUGCUACAAUGGACAAUCCGCAGCCAAGCCCCUACGGUGCGGCCUCUACGGGGGUCGCAUACGGGGAAGGUUCAGAGACUUGACGGGGGUGGGUGGCGCGGGCUCUUGGGGUGCAAGCCGCGUGCUUGCUUGCAGGCCCAGGCGCCCGCCGCUGCCUAAGAUAAAGUCCGGGCGUGCGCGAAAGCGUGCGCGGCAACCACGCAACCCGCCGUUUCCAGCGGGUGCGAGGCCCCAGAAGUAAAAACAACCGGGAGCCUGCGGCUUAAUUUGACUCAACACGGGGAAACUCACCAGGUCCAGACACAAUGAGGAUUGACAGAUUGAGAGCUCUUUCUUGAUUUUGUGGGUGGUGGUGCAUGGCCGUUCUUAGUUGGUGGAGUGAUUUGUCUGCUUAAUUGCGAUAACGAACGAGACCUUAACCUGCUAAAUAGCCCGUAUUGCUUUGGCAGUACGCCGGCUCUUAGA
rnacentral:rRNA from 1 species